ensembl:lncRNA novel transcript, antisense to C7orf33 and CNTNAP2
GAGCUGCGGGAAGGGAGCUGUGGUCAAAGCGAACCGGCUGAGAAGGAAGCUGAAGAGAUGGAGUGGAGGUCAGAUUUCUGAGCCUCCUGGAGGCUGCACCUUCAGAUGAUCAGAUAUGUGGCAGGAGUGGGAAAGGGACACAGAAAGAAGGAGGAUCCGUUUCUCUAAUCCAUGAUGAUCUGGAGACUUUAAUAUGGGAUUUAUGAUGGCUAAAGAGCAUUACCUACCCAAGAGGAACCUUUAAUCCAGGGAGGAAGUUAUGAGUUUUUGGUUCAUUUUGUGGUCAACCUCAUUCCUUCUAGUUUUGUCUAUGGCCUAGGCGAGAGAAAAUAAUUGGAAAUGCUAUGAUGAAAAUAAUAGAACGAUUCCUCUUGUUGCUAUGGUGACAAGAAUAAAUUGAAUCCAUUGCUCUGAAAAA